UUUUAUUAUUUCAAAAUCUGAAUUUCAACUUUUUUCGCUCUAAUUCACCUUUUUAUUUUCGGUUUACGGCACCUUCUUGGCAUAUCUAAUUUUUGCUAUAUUGCUUAAAUAACAUCCUUUUAAAAUAUUUAUUCUGAUUUUGUUUGUAAAGGUGUUUAUAUUAGUUCACAAUGCUGUUGAAGUUGAAUAUAAUCAGUGCACUGAGUUUUGUAACUCAGAUGAAAGGGUGUGGCAUGUUCUUAUUUUUUCCCUUGUUUUGUUGGUUAAUUAUCUUGCAACGGUCUAAUUUCAACACAUUUACAUAUUUAUUGUAUAUGAUUUUUGUAACCAAAUAUUUAUUGCACUGCACGUGUUUGAUAAAAGAUCUAAAAGGAUAUAUGUGUUUAAACAUCGUAAAUGAUGCUCAUUGAUUUUGAUUAUGCUCUUGUUGCUGUUCUUGAUAGUUAUUCUUCUUCUUGCAUACAAUGAUAAUUCAUAUUCAUUUUUUUAUAUAUUGUACAUAAUCUGCUAGAGUACAACUUACAAGUAUAUAAGUUAACCAUUUUUAUGAUUUUUAAUUCUUAAAUUUUCUGCUUAGGUUGCAAGAGUGUGCGUAGCACAAGGUAUGAUGUCUAAUAUGUAAAUCAUUGUAUAGGUUGCAAUUUACGAAGCAAUGGAACAACAGAGAAUAACCAUAACAAAAGCAAGCAACCUUCAAGACACGAACUUCCACUUGAGCUGCAGCCAAUCCCACUGGAGGCCGCUAUGACAAGUCAAAACCCCUGAAGGUUCAAAUUAACUAUCAUAAUAUAGAUAAUUAGGCUAUCAUAUUUAAAUAUAUUUGAAAUAUAUUUGAGCACCCCAGACUUAUAAAAUAUUAAAAACUAUAUAUGUUUCUGGAUGUUGUGUGUUGUUUCCACUCGCAGGGCCGAUGUGCUUCCUCUUGUUAUCCUGUCAAGGUUUGAUCUUGUAUGUCAUGAUCAAUGACCCUGAUGAUCAAACAGAUUACCACAUUGCUAUAGUUUAUCAAAAGCGUGAAACAACAAUUUCUCCAACGUUCUCUACUGCCCAAUUGAAGUGUUUUUAUUUAUAGAUGUGUAAACUGAGUUUUAUUUGGUAUAACCAACAAUUUUAAUUACAGCUUAGUGCAGAAGCUGGACAAUUGUUGGUGGCAUCAUAUGUUACUUUACACAGAGGUGAUACAGCUCCUGGGAGUAGAAUUGCAUAUUGCAUGAGUGUUUGAUGCUAUACAUCUGAUUUUACCAGGACAAAAUCUAUAUGGUCACUCUUUCCCGUGACCAGACCAAAUCAAGCCCAUUGCAUUAAAAAUAUUACAUAUAUCAAAUUUAGCCACUUCUCCUUAUAUCUUGGAUGUUGGGUUGCAUGUCUUUUAGUUGCAAUUAUUUAUGUUAGUUUAUGUGGGAAGUGGGACUUUGGGUUGCUUAUGCGUAUUAUUAAUGGGAUUUGAAUUGGGAUGAUGCAUUGUACAUGCUCUUUGAUGUUUUUUGGUCAAUUUGUUGAGCACUAUAUCUGCAAACUAUUGAGUUUAGAUCAAAUUGAUUGUUCCAGUGAUUUUACAUUGAUGCAUAUAAAUAACUCCUUAAGCUACCCCCAAGCAAUUCCAUUAUUGCAAGCAAUGUUUAUAAAGUGCAUACAGCUAUUGUUGCGUCUUGAUUUGGUAUGUAUGUUCGGGUAUAUGAAAAGAGAUUGGACACAUAUUCUCCUCCGUAAAUACUCUAUCUAUCUACCUUCAGCACGUGUUAGGUUGAUGUAGUUUAUGUGCCCUGUCAUUUUAUAUUAUGAGCUUCAACUUGCUCAAUUAAAUUGCACUUUCUUUCCAUAGCAAGUCAGGGCUCAAAAUUGUGCUUAAUAACCUGUGAUUUACUAUGUCAACAGACUAAGUUGAUUGUUUGUAUGUUUUAUCGGAUUGGCUGUGAAGAAGCAAAAGACGGUUAAGUAGCGGUCUUUUUUACUUUUAUUAACAAUGUAUCUAAUUGACUGUAACUCUUAUAUAGGUAAGAAUUCAGUAUUAGUUAUUUCAGAACCAUCGAUUUAUCAUUUAUGUACUUAUGUCUCUACGGAUGCUUGAAAUCAACUAAGAGACGAUGGUUGGCUAAUUCAAGGGAUUCUAAAAAAACAAAACUUUAGCAUGUUACACAUGGCUACUCUUAUGGUUCAUUAACUGACUCAUUGCUUUUGUUUUUCUUUUUGUAGUCUUUCUAUCAGAGGUUUUCUUGCAGUUUCUUAAAAUUGCCAGAUGGGAUCACACAGGUAAGUCUUUCAUAAAAAUACCAAAGAGUAGAUUUAGUUCUAACUGAUCAACUUAGUUGUAAUCAACUAUGCAAGCCUAAUUGAAAAGAAAAAGGGUCAGAGAUUAGCUGAAGAGGCUGUCUGAGGAGUGUGAUAAAGUUACAUCAGAAAAUAAUACAAUAAAGAUUGAAGUUUAAGAGACACAUUGUCAUCUUCUUCAUCUCGAAUUACUCAACUUCAUUCUAGCAUAAUGGAGUCCUGUGAUUCAGCCAAGUAUAAUGCAGUUCAAAACAAUGCAAGUGUACCAGUGCCUCCUCGUAAAUUGCUAUAACCUUUUUUGAUAGAUUACUUAUUCUGAAAUUUAUUAGUAUAAAUUCACUGAUCUUUUAUAUUGCUCAACAACGUACAUUGUAAAUUGCUUUGUAGACAGUUCAGGUCAUGUUUCAAAAAUUAGAAAUUUUACAUUCUACCAUUUUGCAUACUGUUGACAGCUUCAAGAUAUGCAGCAAACUUUCCAGUCUCAGUUACAUUUUCUUUAUUAUUAACUUUCCCUAAGAUUUGUCUAAAUUCAGCAAACUUCCAAGUCUGUUUCUGGAACAUCAUAUAUCCAAAUCUUGAAAGUUUGGCGUUGUCAGGACACAUGGAUCAGCCAAGAACUUGCCUUCAUCCUGCACUUCACGACUUAAACUGGGUUUGUGUUUUCCCCCCCAAAAUAUGGUGCAGCAAAUCCAAACACCAAUCUUUCUGCUAAAUGCGGCCUAUGAUUCAUGGCAGGUUAGACACCUUAUGAUUAUGAUCUAGAUAUACUCACUACUGUUUAAUAUUAUUUAUAGACACUAUCAUUGAAGGAGAUAUGUGAUAUGCAAGUAUAAUAUCAAGUCUGUCAUUUGAAUGUGAUACAGGGAGUUUCCUAUAUACGUUUUUGAAGUUGCUGCUAUAAUUAUAUUAGGUGUUGUGAAAAUGCAGUUGAUGUUUGGUUGCAUUAUAAACAACUCCUUUUCCCUUACAUGGCUAGUUUGUGAUGACGAAAACCCUAUCUUAAGACAUAACUUACUGACAUAGAUUAUUUAAAUAUUCUCAAAUUCAAACUAAAUAGACUUGUGGAAAAUAUGCCCGCGGUAGUUGGGCACACUUCCUAGUAUGAGAUAAAAUUGACAAGGUGGUAAAUUCACAAUGUGGGUUUAAGUUCCAGAGUUCUAGUGGAACUUAAGGCUAGUCAAGACAUUGUUGUUAACAGGAUCAGCCAAAUGGUCCAGAAGGUUUUGAAGUGGUCCAACUCCUGUGACCAAAGCUUGGAUGAAGUAACCCAAUAUUGCCAACAUAGCAAGUCUCCCAUUCUUAACCUCCUUUAACUUGAGCUCUUUCAUGGAUUUCUCGUCUUUUCCGAAUCCAAGAGGAUUAAAAAAUGGGCCUCCAGGGUAUGCUGGGUCUCCGGAUCCAGCUAGGCCUUUCUCUAAGCCCAAGAAAUAUUGUUUUCCCAUUGAUCCUGGAUUGUACCAGUCUUGUAAUCUCCUGUGCUCUGCAAAUCCCAUGAGAGCCAUUUCUAGGACAAAGAGUGUGUAGCCAUCAGCCCAGUAGUUGUAAGUUCCUGCUGGAGGAAUGACUCCUGUUUGGAACCAUGGCAAGGCUGUUUCAGCUGGAAUGAGCCCAAGUUUUCCCAAAAUCUCAGGGGCUAUAGCUCCUGCUGCACCCAACAUGGCAAAACGACCAUUGAUGAUCUCUCCAUAGGCUAGCCAUUUGGGCUCGAUGAAUCCUCCGGUUCCUUCAGGGUCGGAAAGUCCCAAGGGGUCAAAACCAAAGUCGCCUGGAAGGCUGUGUAAGCAUUGUCAUGAUCAGCAAUCAGUAAAACAUGUUCUUUGCAUGCAUGCGUAGCUCCCAAAAUAACAAGAAAAAAAAGACUAGUUGUAGACUGCCCAGUAGUAGUUAGUUACCUGCCAUCCAAGUAAGAAAGGCUCUGUUUAGAAGCAAACCACAAUUGUCUGUCUCCUUGCUGAAAAGCAUGUAACAAUAUGUUGUUAAUUUAACUAGGAAUAUGAGAAAUUUAAGUUGAUAUCUUCUUGUAAGGUGAAAAUUUGUAUAAAGUUUGUUCGGAUUAUUAAUUCAACAUGCACAUUUAAUUCAUAUAGAGAUAUGUGACAUGUGAGUGAAGUUACCUUAACAGGUGGAGUGGAAGCAGCCUUGACAACGAAGGAAACUUUCUGGGAUGAAGAUUGUGCUGGUCUUGCAGCAAAGAUCUGCCUUGCAGCUUCCGCAGAAGAGGUGAUCGAUGAAGAUGACAGCACUGGUACUGUAGCCAUCUCACUUGUGUACCGUAUCGAGAUGAG